UCCAGCUCCUGGUUUAUGUUGCAACAAACCGUCAGUCUGGGGUUCCUGAUCGAUUCACUGGCAGUGGGUCUGGAACAGCCUUUACACUGACGAUCACUGGAGUC